CGGGCAGCCGACGGGGCCAGGCCCGGGCCGGGGGUCGGGAGCCGGGCAAAGCCUUCCCCACGUCCACUCCACCCUAUGAACUGGGCCUGGCCUUUUCUCACUGCCAAGACCCCCAGUCCUGCAUAAAGGCUUUAGAGGGGCACCGGCCAGGCCUCAGGUCGCGCAGGGCGCAGACCGGCCGCCGCGGAGUCUGGGACCGGAGCGGGGCGGGGACCCGCGUGGUGAACAGUGUUCCUCUGGAUCUGGGUCACGUCUCUCGGCGUCCAGCGCGAUCGAAGGAGAGCUUGUCCUCGAGCUGCAGCAGUAGAGACUGAGAAAACGGACCUCAGAGAACUAGGAAUAGCCCUGCUAUCACGGGCAAGGUGACCCAUCAGUAACCUACGAACCCUCUAUGACUCCGCAACUUCCGAUUACCAUGAAGUUUGCAUUUGAUGCAGAAAGGCAUGUGAUCCAUCCUUCCCUCUGAUCCCAUAGCUGAGAUUCCAUGGCCACACAACCCUGUGGCUCCAUGUCCCCCCCAUUCCAGGAUCCUCCCUGGCCCCAUGACUUCUUGACUCCAAGGCCUCAUGUCCCCUGACCUUCUAUGUGACCUUCUUGGACUUUGACCCCUGUGACUGUGUUUCCCAUCUCCUCCUGUGACUGGCCCUGGCUCCCCUUGGGGGUCUUGUUGGUCUUGGCCUCCCCAAGAAGAUGUUGGGGAGGCUUUGGCCCCUCUUCCUGAGCCUCCUCACAGCAACAGCUGUCCCUGGACCCUCCUUGCGGCGACCUUCCCGAGAACUAGAUGCCACCCCACGGAUGACCAUUUCCUAUGAAGAGCUCUCCGGGACCAGGCACUUCAAGGGCCAAGCCCAGAACUAUUCAACAUUGCUGUUGGAGGAGGCCUCUGCAAGGCUGCUGGUGGGAGCUCGAGGCGCCCUAUUCUCUCUCAGUGCCCAUGACAUAGGAGAUGGGGCUCACAAAGAGAUCCAGUGGGAGGCCUCCCCAGAGAUGCAAAGCAAAUGUCAUCAAAAAGGGAAAAACAACCAGACCGAGUGUUUCAACCAUGUCCGGUUUCUACAGAGGCUCAAUGCCACCCACCUUUAUGCAUGUGGGACUCAUGCCUUCCAGCCCCUCUGUGCAGCCAUUGAUGCUGAGGCUUUCACCCUUCCAACCAGCUUCGAGGAGGGGAAGGAGAAGUGUCCUUAUGACCCAGCCCGCGGCUUCACGGGCCUCAUCAUUGAUGGAGGCCUCUACACAGCCACACGGUAUGAAUUCCGGAGCAUUCCUGACAUUCGCCGGAGCCGCCACCCACAUUCUCUGAGAACUGAGGAGGCACCAAUGCACUGGCUCAAUGAUGCUGAAUUUGUGUUCUCUGUGCUGGUACGGGAGAGCAAGGCCAGUGCAGUGGGUGACGAUGACAAGGUUUACUACUUCUUCACGGAGCGUGCUGCCGAGGAAGGCUCCAGCAGCUUCACUCAGAGCCGCAGCAGCCACCGUGUGGCCCGUGUGGCCCGUGUGUGCAAGGGAGAUUUGGGAGGAAAGAAGAUCCUGCAGAAGAAGUGGACAUCCUUCCUCAAGGCUCGUCUCAUAUGUCACAUUCCACAGUAUGAGACACUGCGUGCAGUCUGCAGCCUGGAUGCUGACACUUCCGCCCGCACACACUUCUAUGCUACUUUCACACUGACCACACAGUGGAAGACCUUGGAGGCCUCAGCCAUCUGCCGCUAUGACCUGGCUGAGGUGCAGGCUGUCUUCGCUGGGCCCUACAUGGAAUACCAGGAUGGUGUCCGGCGCUGGGGCCGCUAUGAGGGUGGGGUGCCUGAGCCCCGGCCUGGCUCGUGCAUCACAGAUUCAUUGCGUAGCCGAGGCUAUAACUCAUCCCAAGACUUGCCAUCCCUGGUCCUGGACUUUGUGAAGUUGCACCCACUGAUGGCUCGGCCUGUGGUACCCACACGUGGACGCCCCUUGCUGCUCAAACGCAACGUGCGCUACACACACCUCACAGGGACACCCGUCACCACACCUUCUGGAGCCAUCUAUGACCUGCUCUUUCUGGGCACAGCUGAUGGCUGGAUCCACAAGGCCAUUGUCCUGGGCUCUGGGAUGCACAUUAUCGAAGAGACACAAGUGUUCAGGGAGCCCCAGUCUGUGGACAAUCUAGUCAUCUCUCCAAUGCAGCAUAGCCUCUAUGUGGGGGCCCCUAGUGGAGUCAUCCAGCUUCCACUGUCCAGCUGCUCCCGCUACCGUUCCUGCUAUGACUGCAUCCUAGCACGGGACCCCUACUGUGGCUGGAACCCCAGCACCCAUGCCUGCAUGGCAGCCACCACCGCAGCCAACAGGUCCCAGAGUAGCAGGACAGCACUGAUACAAGACAUAGAGAGAGGAAACAGAGGCUGUGAAGGCAGCAGGGAUACAGGGCCACCACCACCACUGAAGACCCGUUCUGUGCUCCGGGGUGAUGAUGUCCUUCUGCCUUGUGACCAGCCAUCCAACCUGGCCCGUGCUUUGUGGCUACUCAAUGGGAGCAAAGGCCUAAGUGAUGGGCAGGAUGGCUACCGUGUGGGCGUGGAUGGGCUGCUAGUAACAGACACACAGCCUGAGCACAGUGGAAACUAUAGCUGCUAUGCAGAGGAGAAUGACCUCCGUACCCUGCUGGCUUCCUACAGCCUCACAGUCCGGCCUGCCACUCCUGCCCCAGCUCCACAAGCCCCUGCCAUGCCUGGGGCACAGCUGGCACCAGAUGUGAGGCUGCUCUAUGUGCUAGCCAUUGCUGCACUUGGUGGCCUCUGCCUCAUCCUGGCCUCCUCCCUCCUCUAUGUUGCUUGUCUUCGGGGAGGCAGACGAGGACGCAGACGGAAAUACUCACUGGGUCGGGCUGGUCGGGUAGGGGGCUCUGCUGUGCAGUUGCAGACAGUCUCAGGCCAGUGUCCUGGAGAGGAAGAUGAGGGUGAUGAUGGGGAGGGGGCUGGGGGCCUGGAGGGCAGCUGCCUCCAGAUCAUCCCUGGGGAGGGUGCCCCAGCUCCACCGCCCCCACCACCUCCACCACCACCGACUGAGCUGACCAAUGGGCUGGUGGCACUACCCAGCCGGCUGCGGAGGAUGAAUGGCAACAGUUAUGUGCUCUUGAGGCAGAGCAACAAUGGAGUGCCAGCAGGGCCCUGCUCCUUUGCUGAGGAACUCAGCCGCAUCUUGGAGAAGAGGAAGCACACGCAGCUCGUGGAACAGCUAGAUGAGAGCUCUGUUUGAGCCCAGCCUCCAGAACAAAUUCUCUUCCAAGCCAGCCUGUGUGCCCCAGGCUGGGCUGCUGCCUCCCCAACAUAGCCACCCUCCUUCACACCCCCUACUCCAUGCCCUUCUCCCACCUUUUUGAUGUCUCUGUAGGGCUGGCCAGUCAGGCCCAGCCUAAGCCCCUUUCUCAGUCUCCAAGACCUAUGUGUGAGCAGCCCAGGCCAACCGGUGCUCCUCAGAGGUAGGGCUCUGCAGAUCCAGAUGGCCUCAAUGUCACCACCCUCUGCAUGGCCCUGUUUGGUAGAUCAUCCUGAAGCCAGAUAAGACCUCUGCUAGCCACCUGAGCCCUGCAUACAUUCACAUGUGCUCAUGGAAGAAUGUUCAUCAGCUGGGCUGCAGUGCCCCACCCCACCCUACCCUCUCCUGCUACAUUCUUGUGUUUCAUCUCUUCUUCUGGAUUUGGGGUACCCUUCCAAUUGUCACAUCCCUGUCUAGUUAUCUUCCCCCAGUCCCCCCUCCCCGCCCCCACAAGUGUUGAUGCCAUUGGCAAGAGCUUGGGAUCAGGCCAGCCUGGGAGGUAAGACUGCAUCAUUCCCCUCUUCUGCCUUCCUGUGCAGCCCUUGUGAGUCUGCCUCCCCACUCCCCUUGGUCACACCGAAGAGCAACAGAGCUCUAGGCAAUGUCCUUUCCCUAUGCAUAUGUGAUAACACACCCACAUCACAUGUGCUUACAUUUCCACCCACGUACACCUCUGAGCCUCCCCUUGCUGCCUUGGACCUGUGUCUGUCAGGUUUGGUCCAUGGACAUUUCAAAGGGAGAUCCCCCUCCCAUUUAGCUGUCUUUGCAGACUCUUCCCUAGGACGAGUGACCAACACUGCACUCAAUGAGCCAGCUUCCCUUUUGGGGACCAAGCAUUUUCUCCCCCUCAGCCACAGCAGGGAGAGAAGAGGACUGAUGUCUCACCUGGCACACUAAGCCCGUUCUUGGAACUAUGCAAAGGGCAGAGGCUGGGAGUUCCGAUGCUUGGCUCCCACCCCUGUCCUACCUCACCGGGACACUUUCAGAGUCCAGGGGCCUCUGAAGUCUUCAGGCCCAUAUGGGACAAUCAAUUCUGAGCUCCCCCAUUCCCAUUGGGUGAGGAUGACUGUUAUUUUUGUAGCUGAGAACGUGGAAUCCCACGGGUUUUUACUGCCCUUCACCCAACCUCUCCCACCUCCACCCCACAAUGAAUGUAUUUAUUAUGAGAACGGCUGCAGUUCUUUAGGAAUGUCCCCACUCAUCCCCAGGUGGGUGGAAUAGGCAUGUGAGAGUGGGGAGCCUGGGCUCAGCUCCUCCCCCAAUGUUGGUUAAUAAAUAUCCUUUUCCCCCACA